rnacentral:rRNA from 1 species
AUUGGAUGAGCCCGCGGCCUAUUAGCUUGUUGGUAGGGUAAUGGCCUACCAAGGCGACGAUGGGUAGCCGGCCUGAGAGGGUGUACGGCCACACUGGAACUUAGACACGGUCCAGACUCCUACGGGAGGCAGCAGUGGGGAAUUUUGCGCAAUGGGCGAAAGCCUGACGCAGCGACGCCGCGUGGAGGAUUAAGGCCUUCGGGUUGUAAACUCCUGUCAGAGGUGAAGAAAGUCUCUUCGGAGAUAUGACGGUAACCUCAGAGGAAGCCCCGGCUAACUACGUGCCAGCAGCCGCGGCCGAAU